CUUCUGUCACACACACCGUCCUUCAAAAGUUUGUCCCGAAUCUCCCAGCUGAACAUUCCGGGAUUUUCGCGUUUAUAUUCUUCGAUUCGCUUUUCCACGUCAGGUGUUGCCACUUGCUUUUGAUGUUAAUGUGUUUCUUGAUACCGGCAGAGGAUUUUGGACACACAACCGUGGGAAACGCGAAGUUGUCGGGAGAUCACACAGGGACGGAUGCCGUGUUCUUUCAUGUGUUGGUGUGUGCUGUGAAGUCUGAUGGGGGACAUGUGCUAGCGUGAAUAGGUCAUGACCGGGAAGGUCAUCAUUAUGCUGCGUGGGGUGUUCCUGUCUGUCCUAAGCUUUCUCACUUAACCCUCAAUACACAGGGGCUGUUAACUCCUCAGCACAUACAGAACAAGGUCAUGUUCAGAU